GCUAAGCUGGUGGCGUCAUGGGGGCGCUGGUUCUAGCCCUGUGGGCUCUGCUGGUGUCUUUGGACCCUGCUGGCGGAGCCAGAGAGCCAGGGAAGAACCUGAGCUGCUACCAGUGCUUCAAAGUCAGGAGCCCGGAGUUUUGCUUGCCUGCGAUGUGCUCCUCCACUGACCAGGUCUGCGUCUCCCACACGUUGAUCAUCACCCUGAGACUACAGGUGAAGACCCUGCUCAGCAAGCGCUGUGCCCCCAGGUGCCCCAACACCAACAUAGAGUUCAAAUGGCCGUCGAACUCGGGGGUGCCCAGCAAGAUCGUCCGGCACUGCUGCUCCAAAUCUCUCUGCAACAGGGCCCCCGCCCCGCAGGAGGGCCCCAGGGCCCUCUCACGGGGGCUCCUGCUUCGGGUGAGCCUCGGCCUCCUCUGGGUCCUGCUGUGAGCACCUUCCCUCGGCCCAAAGCGCACCCUGCCCCCGUCGCUCUCGAGACCCUGGGUGGCACAUGCCCCUGAGGUGGUCGGAGGUGCCAUCACCUCGCCGUGGGCCUGGCCACCUCUCCUGUCCCCAGCAGGGGCCCUUCACUCACACAGCCUGGGAUUGUAGCCCCCUGCUGUGUUGGGGAAUGCACAUUUCUCAGCUUGGAGUAACAGCCCCUGCCCUGAAUGGAUGGUCCAGGCCCCGGUGUUGUGGGAGAAGAGGUGGGGAAAGCCAGAGGCUGGCUCUGGCUCUGGCUCUGACCCGCUCUGCAUUCUCCAUGCCCACCAUCCUGGCCACCUCUGUCCCUGGCUUAGGCAGAGUCCUGCAGGGGGACCGUGACCGUCACUCCUUCCAGAGACAAUAAAGUCACUGCUUG
rnacentral:lncRNA from 1 species